GACGAACGCUGGCGGCGUGCUUAACACAUGCAAGUCGAACGGAAAGGCCCUGCUUUUGUGGGGUGCUCGAGUGGCGAACGGGUGAGUAACACGUGAGUAACCUGCCCUUGACUUUGGGAUAACUUCAGGAAACUGGGGCUAAUACCGGAUAGGAGCUCCUGCUGCAUGGUGGGGGUUGGAAAGUUUCGGCGGUUGGGGAUGGACUCGCGGCUUAUCAGCUUGUUGGUGGGGUAGUGGCUUACCAAGGCUUUGACGGGUAGCCGGCCUGAGAGGGUGACCGGCCACAUUGGGACUGAGAUACGGCCCAGCCUCCUACGGGAGGCAGCGGUGGGGAAUAUUGCACAAUGGGCGGAAGCCUGAUGCAGCAACGCCGCGUGCGGGAUGCCGGCCUUCGGGUUGUAAACCGCUUUCGCCGGUGACGAACCGUGAGUGACGGUAAUGGGUAAAGAAGCACCGGCUAACUACGUG
rnacentral:rRNA from 1 species